rnacentral:lncRNA from 1 species
UCUUCUCUAUAUUUCUACUCCUUGCUUUCUGAAACAACUUUGAGUUCUCUUCGAGGUUUCAAGUGUUCUGCUGAAAUUUGAGUUUGUUCCUGCUGUUUUACUUACUGUGAUUGCUCUAUUAUUCUGCUUAUUCUUACUUUGCAACUGGUAUGUUCUUCCUAGUUGAAUAAUGCUCCUUCACUAUAUGUUUACAUCCUAGUCUGUUAUGCUUUCUUUCACUAUGUUUCUACCAUUACUGUACUUAUGUGAAUCCCUUACCCCUUACCCGUUUCCCCUUUGUGUGUGAUUUGUGGUUCCAACCAUAGCAACACUUUAAUAUUGUUGUCUAUGACUCUGAACUGGGUUCUUUGAACUCCCUUCUUAAUCAAUUCCCACUUCCCUUUUCCCCUUUAUGUGUUUGAGACUUGACUUGGAUCUGGUGGUGCCCUAAUCACUAUCCAAACUUAGGUUUGACCUUCAAAGGUCUGCUCCUAACUUGCUUAACCCAAACAAGUGGUCAGGGGUGUGCCAGUCUGCAUUUGUGGAUGGGUAUGACCACCAUUUGUUAAGGUUCCCCAUUUCCUUUUGCACUUUGCACUUACUCCUAGCUUUAAGUUCUUCCCCUCUCUUGCAAGCCAUGCUUUGGGACCCUUGAGCUUCCUCUGAACUUGGAUGCCUGAGAGCUGGUUAUUUCACACUGCACUACUCUAAUUCUAAAUGGCAUCCUGAGUGUGACAAAUGUCGGGAAUCCUUGAGACUCCCUGGAACUUUGAAACACUUUGGAUAAAGAAUAGGCUUUGAAAAUCUGGAUUCUGGAAUUGGUUAAUCACAUGUUGUUAGACAUUAAGAUUGAAUUAGGCAGUUUGGAUCUAGCUGUUGGUGUUUGAUGUAUUUUAUAUCUUUUUCUGGUUUGUAAUAACGUAUAUAAAACUAGGGGAGUAUAGUAAAAAGGUGUGGAGGGGUUUUACUUUCUUGCAUCAGUAAGGGUAGGUAUCAUGCUCUAAGACUUUAAUUUUCUGACUAGGAAUCCUGCCUACAAGUCUGUCCAAUAUUUCUAAUUCAAUCACCUAGAAAUCAUGCCUAUAGGGUUUAACGUUCAUAUUCUAUAAUUAAAGCAUAUAGAGAUCAUGCCAAUAGGAUAUGCAUAUUCAUUAGGCAAAACUUUAGGAUUAAUUAUAUAAGCAUCCUUUUCAUAAGUUCAUUAACAAGUUCUGAAAAUCAGUAACGUAGUAUCAUGCAUAUAGGAUUUGUAUCAAACUCGUUUUGCCCGUUUUAAACAGUAACAAUUGGCUAAUUAGUUCUUAACACCUUAACUCAGUCACGUUUUUUGAAACUUUAUCUUUUCGAUAAAAACGUGUCUCAAAUCAGUGCACACUUUCUUUGAAACCUACUUCUUUUCUUAAAUGGUUUAUUUUCUAAUAUUCUGCCUAAAUAUUUUCCAACUAAAUUCCAGUUUUCCUGAACUUGUUUAAAUCAAUUCUGCAGUUUACUCUUUCCUUGAGAAAAGUUCUAAUUUCUGAAUACACUUUUACAAUCAUUUAUGUAUUUCAUACUUGAGCAGUCUACUGACUUUCUUUGAAACUUAUUUCUAAAACUAAGUCUGAAAGUCUUUUUUGCUUCCAUUAAAAACUUUUCUUCGUCAGUCAUCUUCUGUAAUUAGUGCCUUCUAAAUAACUCGCAUAAAAUACCUUAAUUUCUGACAAUUGUAUCCAAAUUGCCUAAUGCAGACUUUCUAUCUAAAUAUAUGUGUUAAACCAGUCCGUUCGGCGCUUAAUUUUAAUUUAAGACCAAAUCAGUAAGUGCACGGCAUACUAAACUAUAUGUGUUAUCUAUUUUAAGGGGUUUCUUUGAGCCUUGUUUAUUUUCUUGUUCUUUCCCCUACUUGGUGUUUGUUUUCAUUGACGAGUUAGACUUUUAUCCUUUGAAAUUCCAUAAAAGCCCCAUCCCUUUCUUCCUCUUUUAGGAUUAGAAGUCCUAAUACCCCAGGACUGAUAGUUUGAGACAGGUACUAGCAUACAAUAAGUAAUCGAGACUAAACGCAUUUUAAUACCUUAACGGGGUGGGAAGGGUAGAAUAUGGAUAUGACUGCUAAUAUCACGUGUGAUCCCUCUUCUGAGGAGUGAUUGCUAGAUAUUGCAUUGAUGUGAUCCAUAUUAUGUUUAAACCUAGGACCCCCUUUUUUCCCUUUAUUUGUUAUGUUUCAUUCAAGUUUUCUCUCUUUUAAAGUAAUGUUCUCAAAUCUCUCGUUUUAUUCUUCUCUUUUAACCUUUUUUUUUUAUAUAUUCACAAUAUUUUCUUUAAAUCCUGUUUCCUUUCAAUUAACACCUUUUCUAAAAAAACUGUCUAUUCCUUCUCUCUUUUAAAAGCUUUAUACUUAUUUGUGAUGACUAUGUGCAAACCUUAUUUGUUUCUUUGAUCUUCUUAAAGUUAUAAUUAUAGCAUGUCUAGGAACCACACUAGUGGAUCUUGAGGGGGGCCUAACACAUUCCCCUAGGGAUAAUCUCUAAGCCCUUACCCGAACUCUGGUUUCCUUCUUCUCAAAUUCUUCAUCUCUUUAAAGUGUCAUACUGCACUAUAAUCAUUAGGUGGAGGCUAUCCAAAAUCCAAAACCCAAUUCUCGCAAGGGAAUAAAGAAUUGUCCUCCCAUAAUGUCGUUUACCCGAUUUACGAACUAUGGAAAGAGGGGACGUCGACAGCAUGGCGACACUGCUGGGGAUUUCUUUAGGCUUUCUACCAUUACAUGUUAUUUGUGACUUCAUUAUUUAUUUAAUUGCCUUUACUUCUUGCCUUUUAAUUAUUUCAUCCCGAAACUAACUUGGCUCUUUAUGUCUUUUCUUUCCUUUAACUGCUUUCCUUUACUGCUUUAUUAUUUCAAUACCGUUGUAAUUUCGAGCAUUUAUUGUAAUCAUUUAUCUUAUGUACCUGAAAAUACAUGUAAAUUUGCUUCAUUCUUAUAACUGCAUCUGCAACAUCAUACUCCACUCAUACCAAAACAAAUCCUAUAGCGCUUAUAAUGAGUGAUUGCGGUCUUCCGAUAUUAUCACCCCUAAAUUUGGUAAUGGCAUAUUUGCGGUAAAACCAGUCGAUCAACGGUGUAGUCGAUGGUUCUGCGCCUUUCCCUUUUGAGUUGUCCACUCAAGGGUACCAGUCUAGCACUUCAAAAGUAGAAACCUUACUCCGUUAAACUAUCCAUGCAUCAUGGUCAAACCUAGUCGGGUUAGUUAUGCUGUCCGCAUAAUGACUCAUUAAGAUAGCCUAGUCCAAAGUCCAUCGGGUUUUCCUGAAACCCAAAAGGACACCUCCAUAUUUGGUGCAUUUAUACAGAGAACGAAAAUGCCUAUUAUGUUAAUUAUUGAUCUAAAUAGUCAAGUCUGGGUCUAACUCUUUGUUUUUCAGAAAAUGAGGCACGAAGUCCCCAGAUUCGGUAUGGUAACCAACAUUCACCCAAGGCUGCUAAGCUGGUGGAAGGACCUUCAUGCUAGCAACCAAACCCUUGUCAGCAAAUACUUAGGAAAUUUGCCAUCACUUCGGGAAAUCCAGCCUGACAACAAAAUCGUAGAGGCUGCAACUUUGUUCUGGGAUAGUGAUCGGUCAGUAUUUUGCUUCGGGGAUUUGGAAAUGACUCCUUUACUGGAAGAAAUAGGGGGUCUAGCUGGUAUUUCUUGGGAGACUCCGGGUCUGCUUAUGCCAGAAAAAUCGCAAAGGUAGAGGCUUUAAUAAGAUGAUGGGACUCAAUAAAAACCCGAAUAUGACUUGUCUGAAAAACUCCUACAUACCAUUUGACUGCUUGUACGAGAGAUAUGGCCAUAUCAAGUCCUACCACACCUACAUUGAUGUGUUUGCCCUUACCUCUUUAGGGCACAUCCACAGAAGGGUUUUCAUCUUCAUUUUCUAUUUCCUGGGGAUGAUAGUCUUUCCUAUGAAGAACGCUAGGAACCACACCAUACUAGCCAUGGUAACCAAAACCUUAAUGGAAGGGAUUGACGGGCAGUAUUUCAACAUAAUGCCCAUGAUUGUCGCCGUGAUAUAUCGAGCCUUGGGAAAGUGUCAGCAAGGAGUCAAGCACUUUGAAGGGUGCAAUCUGCUACUUCAACUUUGGCUUAUAGAACAGCUUCAGAAAGGUGAUUACCGACAGGAGAUCAUACGCAGGGAUUGGGAUGAUCAUAUCGCUUUCCACCACCCAAAUCGAAUGAACUUCAUGCCUAACAUGUUCGCUCAACCAGAGGAAGCUGGAGGAUGGGUAGAGAUAUUUGAGAAUCUAAAGGAAGAUCAAGUGCAGUGGAUGUACGAGUGGUUCCGACCAGGGGAAUUCAUUGUUCGUUCUCGGGAUGCACCAUUCCUCGUACUCAUCGGUCUAAGGGGAACUUAUCCUUAUGUCCCUCUCCGAGCCAUGAUGCAAGCUGGGAGGAAGCAAAUCAUACCAAAGGUGGACAUAGUGAGUCACUUCAGGGCCGACUUUCAGGACGAUGAUAGCCCUCACAGGUGUCAAGCUCAGCAUAUGUGGCAUUGCAAACUCGUCUUGGGGAGAGAAACUAUUGAGGCAGACAAGUAUCACGCUGGGUGUGUGCCACACUACUCAGGUUGGUUGGAAGAUAAUCUCACUGGUUUGGGUCAUUCUGGGUUCAUCCGAGGUCAUAAGUUUAUUGAUGAAAAGGAUGAAGCGCAAGUUAAGUACAAUCAACUGCGCAAAUGGAUUCGAGAGUGUGAAAAUGAACACCGGGAAAUACAAGAAGCUCACCAGAAAUUGAUCGACGAGUGUAAGGAUAUGGUUGUCAAUGCCAACAAGCGGUUGGGGUAUCUGGAACAAGGUCUAGUAGAGCUGGAAGGAAAGUUCUUGAAGAGGAUUGAAGACCGCCAGAAUGCCGAGGGAAGUCCAGGUAGACAUCUGGCCCGAGCCUAUCUGCUUCUAGGACUGCGCGAGUUGAUGCAGCUGUAUGAGGAUGGCGAGAAUACCAAAUCUGGGGAAGGUCCUUCUAGACCAAGUAGUUAGGAUCUUUUAUUUCCUGCUUUCAUAAUGUUAUAAGGCCACUAGCCAUUAGUGACGUCUUUAUUUCCUAUAUUUCAAAAUGCAUUAUUUAGACUCGUCUUAUUUUUAUCAAUAAAUCGAGGCAUUUAGCAUUUAAAGUUCCCCAAAUUUAAUUUGUAGCUAGGCCUACCUCGGGCACAAUGAGGCACCCAAAUUAGGAAACGACUUAUAUUCCUGCACAACGUGUUUAAAUAUUGCAAUAUUCUCUUUCUCUUAAUCCGUACUAACUUUUUACCUUUUGUUUUUCUUUUAUUUUAUUCCCUUCUCCAAAGGUUAGUUCAUGCAUUCUGGCACCAUCAGCAUACUCUACAAGAUCCAAGGGCCCUCCACCUUCUCUUCCUCUGAGUCCUAUCAGAAACAAGAACAAAGGCAGAAUGGGAGACGCAGUUCUAGAAAGGAAAUGGAUAGGGAGGAAACAUCUGAGGGUACCCCGAUUUCCAAGGGAACUGCUGCUCAAAUUGAACAGAAACUUCUGAAAUUCCAGGAGGAAUUGGACCAAGUUCGAAAUUUGGCAAGACUAUCAUUUUCUCUUUCUGCUCAUGAUACCAACACUCAAAACCCCCUACCUCCACAAGACACCCCACAACCACAAAUGCAACCCACUCAUGCUCAAACCCGCUACACAUGGCAUGCUCCCAAUAACACUCCACUGCUCAUUCCUGAACCACCAAACACUACAAACGACAACCUCCACAAUGCUCCUAUCUUUGCGUACACUACACCCCCACUACAGUCAACCAAUCGCAAGUGCUUCGGAAUCAUACAACAAAGACUCCCUUAUUAGGAACUUGGUCGCGGAACUCCAGAAGCUGAAUAACCGGGUCCAGGGUGUCGAAGGUAGCAAAGGUAGAAGGAUUGAAUUAUGAGGACCUCUGCAUUCAGCCAGAUGUCGAGCUUCCGGAGGGGUACAAACCUCCCAAGUUAGAAAUAUUCGAUGGUACACGUGAUCCAAGGUCCACCUAAGGACAUACUGUGAUAAGUUGGUCGGAGUUGGAAUAGAUGAGAAAAUCCACAUGAAGUUGUUCAUGAGGAGUCUGAAAGGAGACACCUUAUCUUGGUAUAUCAGCCAUGACACAAAGAAAUGGACAAGCUGGGUAGGUAUGGCAUCCGACUUUAUGGGCCAGUUCAGGUUUAACACAGAGAAUGCACCAGAUGUAUUUUAUAUCCAAAAUCUGAAAAAGGAACCCAAAGAAACAUUCCGCGAGUAUGCUACUCGUUAGAGGUCAGAAGCUGCCAAGGUCAGGCCGGCCUUAGAAGAAGAGCAGAUGAACAGGUUCUUUGUCCGGGCUCAGGAUCCACAAUAUUAUGAAAGGUUGAUGUUGAUAGAAGGUCAGAAAUUCUCCGAUAUCAUCAAGUUGGGAGAAAUAAUUGAAGAAGGAAUCAAGAAUGGUAUGGUCACUAAUCUCGAAGCAUUACAGGCCACCAACAAGGCUUUACAGUCUGGCCUUAGAAGAAGAGCAGAUGAACAGGUUCUUUGUUCGGGCUCAGGAUCCAUAAUAUUAUGAAAGGUUGAUGCUGAUAGAAGGUUAGAAAUUCUCCGACAUCAUCAAGUUGGGAAAAAGAAUUGAAGAAGGCAUGAAAAAUGACAUGGUCACUAAUCUUGAAGCAUUACAGGCCACCAACAAAGCCUUACAAUCUAGUGGUACGUCAAAGAAGAAGGAGGUGAACUCCGUAAUGGCUGCGCAAAGAACCAAAUCCCCAAUGAAAUACCAAACAUACCCUCUAACUCCACUCACAUAUCAGCCUUCCCUGAAUUACCAGGCACCCUCAUCCACCUACCAAAUUCUACCACCCACCUACCAAUCAUUUACACUGCCCACAUAUCAACCCACCUCACCAAGAUAUUCCCAACCCGCACUCUGUACCAAGCCUAUUAUGCCCAAUCGUCUCAUUACCCAUCACCACCUACUCGCCCAAACUUUCCUCGGCCUAGACCAAAUUUCGACCACCGACCCCCCAGACAAUAUACAACCAUCGCCGAGCCUAUUGACCAACUAUGUGAAAGACUCAGAGCAGCCGGUUACAUUACCCCUAUCCCAGCCAUAACUUCUAGAAUAUCCCUCCCAAUGGAUCAAUCCGAACAAAACUUGCGCAUAUCAUUCCAGAAUGAAAGGUCAUACUAUCGACGAGUGUUGCUCGUUGAAAGAUAAGAUUCAGACCUUGAUUGGUAGUAAGGUCAUUAUAGCAAAGGAGCCUGCUCCUAAUGUCUGCAACAAUCCUCUACCAUACCACAAGGGUAGAGGCAUUCACAUGAUCGAGAUUGAGGAUGAUUGGGACCCCAAAGGGUCAAUUGGAUUGAUUGCAGAAGGGGAUGAACCGAAGAAGCCAACAAUCACCCUCAACCCUAUUGUUGUUCAGAUCCAGCCCUCUGAGGGCAAUGAGGUGAAUAUGUCCAUACCGCUCAAGUUCAAAACGCCUCCUGCAAAGGUGCCAGGACCAAUUUAGGUCAAGUUCGAAGUUCCAAAGGCACCUGCACCCUUUAAAGUUGUUGUGUUUCCCUCGAGGGUGCCUAUCCUGGUUUCCAUGAGAAGACCCUGUUUAAUUCAAACGUCAUACCUUGGGAUUACACAGCGGAAGCUAGGAGAAAAGGGAAAUCAAAGAGUGGAGAAGCGAUCGUUGCAUAGGGCAUGACCAGAACCGGCAAGGUAUACGCUCCAGAACACUUAUCUGAGUCCAGCAAGCAAGCCUUUGGACGACCUGUUGAAACUGGACCCAAUGAUCUCUGGAGGAAAAUACAAUCUAAAGAAUACUCGGUCGUGGAGCAAUUGAACAAAACUCCAACAUGUAUUUCCAUCCUGUCUCUUCUGCAAAUCUAUGAGGCACACAAGAAUGAUCUGAUAAAAAUAUUUAGUGAGGCUUAUGUUCCCAGCAACAUAACUUGAGGCGUAAUGGCAUAUAUGGUAGGACAAGUGGUGGAGAGUCACAAGAUCACCUUCCAUGAGGACGAGCUAUCAUUAGAAGGACUAAGUCACAACAAGGCAUUGCACAUCACCGUGCAAUACGAAGAUUACUUCAUCACUAGAAUCUUGGUCGACGAAGGAUCCAGCCUUAACAUUUGUCCACUAAUAUCUCUCAGAACGUUGGGGAAAGGUUUGCAUGAGAUCAAGGAUGAGGAUAUCAAUGUCAAAGCCUUAGAUGGGUCCCAAAGAUCCACCAUUGGGGAAAUCAGCCUGUGUUUGCAGAUGGGACCAACUUGGUUCGAUGUUGACUUUCGAGUGAUAUACGUCCCGGCAUCCUACAAUCUAUUAUUGGGGAGACCCUAGGUCCAUGCCGCAGGAGGUGUAGCAUCAACCCUACAUCAGGCAGUGAAGUUUGAAUGGAAUCACUAAGAGGUGAUUAUUAAUGGCGAUGGUAGCAACCCUAUAUACAUUCGCUAGACCAUCCCAAUGAUUGGAGGAAGAAGGAGAAUAGGCGGGAAAACGUACCACCACAUCGAGUGGGUCAAUGCUAUGGACAAAGACAAAUAGUGGGAAAACAAGAUUGAAAGUAUCCUGAACUGGUGCGGUUAUGAACCCGGAAAAGGACUUGGCAAAAACCUUCAAGGGAUCACCAAACCAAUCAAGCUGAAGAAACACGGUACUACCUUUGGUUUGGGAUAUGAAUACACCUGGGAGGAGUUCAACCAUUGGUCGCCACCGUGGUGCGGCCCAUACUAUCCACUGGAGCACCCUAUACCUUGUCAGAGCAGACUUUCAAGCCAGCUGACAUCAUAUGUGGAUCAGAGGAAGAUGAGGCAUUGGCAGCAAUAAAGAACUUAUUUCUGGAAGAUGAUAUGGACUGUUGUGUUAUCUUCGAGGAGGAAUGGGAGGAAGGCCCUUCCAUAACAGCUGUGAAUCGAGGGGAGCGCCUCACUUAUUGGUCGAUCAAAACUACCAGGGCCCGAAAAGUUUUGGGGUAGCAAGGCUAUACAAGCGCCAUGCAUCGCAUUUUUUACUAGUUGAUUUUUCCUUUCUGCAUUGUCUUUACUUUUGGAAAGAUCUCCGAUGUUUCGAACAAUUAUGAAUUUAAUCAAAGCAUUUCCAAGUUUAAUAUAUAUCUCGCUCUUAUUAUUUUCUCUAUCAUUUACUUUAUUAUAUAACAUUACUAUUACCCAUUUUGAUGAUGAACCAACGAUUGUGACUUGCAACGAGACAAUGCAACAAAUGGAUAUAUAUUCAGAAGAAGUUGUCAGAGAGGUCGUCGAGAACUUUGAAAAUAGGACUAAGGCUAACCUGGAGGAGACCGAGGUUGUUAAUUUGGGAGAUAUCGAGAAUGUCAAGGAAACACGUAUCAGCGUGCAUUUGUCACCAUCAGAAAAGAAAGAGUAUACAGAGUUCCUAAUAGAACAUGAGGACAUCUUUGCCUGGUCUUAUGAUGAUAUGACUGGUCUCAGCACCUCUAUUGUAGCUCAAAAAUUACCAACAGAUUCGACAUGUCCGCCGGUGAAAUAGAAGCUCAGAAAGUUCAAACCCGACAUGAGUUUGAAAAUCAAAGAAGAAGUUGCCAAGCAAGUCAAAGCCAGAGUUCUUAGGGUAGUCACUACUACAAAAAGGACCUUUAGCGGCAAUAAAAAGCAGCAUUGGCGGCAAUAACAAUAUCCGUUAUAUUAUUUACCGGCAAUUGAUCUUUAGCCGAUGAUGCCGGGGUUGGUAAAGCCUUUAGCAGCAUUUCUGCUAAAAGCUGGUAAACGGUAUGAUUUAUUGCUGCUAAAACUCAUCUUCUUUAACGGCAAUUGUUUGCGGCAAUUAUUAUGGCUGCAAAACCCAUUAUAAAAACGACUAAUAAUGCUCCUUUAGCGUCCAUUUUUAUAGAUGCUAAAUUCAAAAUAAUUGUCGCUAAAAGUACAUAUCUUUAGGGGUAAUUGUUUUGUGGCAAUUAAUUAGCAACAAUAUCUCUUCUAAAAACGUAGUAGUAUGCCCAUUUAGCGUCCAUUUUAAUGGAUAGCAAAGUCAAUUAAAUUGCCGCUAACAAUCAUCUUUGAUAUCAAUUUAAUUGUUACAAUAUCCCUGUAUAAAUGUCUUAACCCUAUUAAACUGGCACUAAAAUUUACAAGCUAUAACGGUAAGUUUAGCCACCAUUAAUAAUAGCUACUACAUUGGACCAUAAAAUAAUGCAAAUAACAAAACAUAUUGAUAUUAAUUCAUAAAACUAUAGUAUAUCUCGUUAAAUCUUAACGAACAAAAAGAAGUACUAAUCAAAAAUAUUAAUAUCACAAAACCUUAAAAAUAACUCAUAUUGUUUGAAGUAAAUAGAUAAUGUCACUAUAUAACUAAUCGUAACGGAUAACAAUCUUCAAAUAAUCUCUGAAACUGUCAUAUUGAAAUCUUCCACCCGCUAAAUUAUCGAAAAUCAAAUUGUAUGGCCUGAAAUUAUAAAAUAACUAUGUCAAUAGGAAGUAAAUGUUGUCAAACAACAAAGCUGAUAAUAGUUUACGAGGUUAUGAAACUAAAAUCCAUAACCAGAAAGGGACACAAACAAAAUUGCAAGAAUCUACUUCAUUAGUGUCCCAAAAGUAUGUAUAGUCUCAUGUAUGAAGUAUUUUAGUAUAUAUGUAAAUACAUAUUACAUAUCAUACAAGAAAAUAUAUCAAAUAAGCCUUUUGAGCACUCUUCACCCAAAAUUUUCAGUUGGCAACAGAUUUUCUGCUAAGCAAAUCUUACUGCAUGAAUCUAGUUCGCUAUAGCUUAGAAAUUUAGAUCAAAAGAGUGGUAAUAAUGCAAGAAGGCAAGUGGAGUAGGGUAAUGGUUCUACAAAUUUUAACCAGCAGGAUCUAUUAAUAAUUUUGUCAAGUGACAAAGUUGUAGGUAUGUGGCAGGGAAGGACAAGGAGCAAUGGAAAGAUGUCAAGGAUAAUCGUAAUAAGAAGACAAACAACCAGAAUAAGAUGCAGACAACUACUGGAAAAGAAAUUGUUCCAGUCAAUAAGUAGAAAGACACAGGUGAUAGCAAGUAACAAGUUUGCACUACUGGGAACUGAGGAAGUUGAUCUUAAUGCAUAUAAUGUGGUGUCAAGGCAGGCUUAGGAUCCUAUGGGUUUGGAACAAAAGAUAGUGCAAGAUAAGCAGUUAGCAAUUGUUGAUGAGUCCAAGAAGUUGUUCAGCUAGAUAAGGUCUCUCCUGCAAAAGGAGGAAAACUAGGCAAAGAUAGUAGUCCAAAAAACUCUAAUGUUGAAAUUGGGAAAAGGCUGAAUCCUACAGCCCCUUCAUUUAGUCCUACAUCAAAGGGUAAUAAUGCAGAAAAUAAGGGUGUUAGCAAUGGUGAAUCAACAGUUGCCUGGGUGCAAAGGGCAUUUGGAGGAACUACUGUAGCUAUUAAUACUUCCUGCCGGGAGACUUCAUCUCAAGAUACUAGAGUGGAAGGACUACUGGCUCAAACUUUUGGCAAAACAAAUUCUGAUGUUGCAAUAACAAAACAGGAUGAUGAUGUAAACAAUGAUAAAGAGCAAGUCGAUGAAGCAGAUUUGAAAAAUUUAAAAGCAAUGAAAGGGUUAAUUGGAAAGGUGGUAGAUUAUGAUCGAAUAACUGUCAGUUUUGGCUUAAUAGCUUCUAUGUUUGAAUAAUUAUUGAACAACUUGAAGAUAUACUUAUUUUCACAGGGUUUUUUUAUUCAAUUAGAUGUUACUGGUGUUCAUCGCCUUAAAUUGUUUAUACACAAAACUACAUGUUUCAAACUGAUAUGCUCAAACAUUUCAGCGCAUCCAUGGGUCCGCGAAGGAGGUGAUGCAUAUGAGAUUCCACUGGACAUUUCCGUCUUAUCAAAAAUGCGACAAUUUGCCAAGUAUAGUUGAAUAACAGAAUUUGCUUUACGGGUAAACUCAUAGCUUCUUAUUUUGUUAACCUUUUUGUGGCAAAGUCAAAAUAAAAUGUACAAAACAUUAACUUCAUGAAAUUUCAUUACCUGACAGGCAUUGGAUAGCACAGUUGAUGAGGAGUAGCUAGCAGAUUAGGUGAAUGUAAGUCAAGAGAUCUAUUGUAAAGCCCAAGAAUAUUAGAUAUACCAGAUCUGCUCUGCAAAUGCACCUCGUGAAAGCCUUUUCCAUCCAUCAAAACAUCAGGAAACUGCCCUUGUAGAUCAAGGAACAUUCACCUCUUACUGUUGAUAAAGGAUUUAUAGAACUGAGGGCUCUUCAAGAAAUACUACAUUAAGCACAUAUAUUACCUUUUCUAAUUCUGCCCGACUCUGAGGAACCUGACCAAAAACCUUUGAUUUGUCCAUUCAAGGAAUUGUACUGCACUACAGACUGAGAACGAGUAGAUUGUUUCAUGCUACAAGGAGGAUCAGCAUCCUCAUUCAAGUUUCCCAAGGGAUGGUACUGAAACUUCGAAGGCCAAGAAUUUCUCAGACCACCAUGAUUAGACAACUUCUGCUUCCCCAUGAGAAGCCACCUAGAAUCACUGGCAUCUGAUAAUGUAUUUUCCCUAACCCCACCAGCAGAAGAAUGAGGGUGUGAGUUAGAGUGACAGCUGUCAUUUGAGUUAUCCUUCUUAUCACUGUCACCAACAUCCGGUGAUGAGUGCAAAACCUGGCUAUCUUUCAUAACAUGACGUUGUAAAACCCCCAAACUUUCACUGUUUUUCAUAGCAUUUGUCCAGUAAUUAGAUUGAUUAUUAUUUUGAAGAGAUUAUUUGCUUUCUUCAGCACCCUUCAUCAUACUUGAAUUUGGAAUUGUGGCAGAGUUAUAGAAGCUAAAGACCUCUGAAUUUCCCUACAGACUAGCCACAGAUGAUCCCACUUGCUCCAUACCAACUGCAGAAAUACGACAAGGACUAGAUUUCAAUGUCACACCAACAUGAAAGACUUCGUCUUGGAUGAAUUUGUUCUGAUUGUUGCCCUGCAAACGUUUUGAUGAUUUAUCACUUGAAAUACUUAACGCUGCAUCUCCAGAUGGUACUGCUGAUCCAAGAACACCCCAAUUAGCUGAAUUCAUCCACGGUUUCUAGCUCCACCAAGCUCAUCUGUCAAAUUACCAGAAACCCUUCUUGUAAUCAUCUCAGGGUCAAGAGGAUGUGAAGUAUUGCUAAAUUACUGGCUUGCUUCAGCAACUGAUGUCUGCAGUGGACCAAAAUCUGAUGACUUGCUUCCUCCAUCUGAUGAUUGGGUAAGUCUUAGAGAAUUCGUUUGCAUAUUCUGGCCUCACUCAUAUGGAAACAUAUGCUCCUGGACGUUGUUAAAGUUGUUGUUCAUAUUGGUGCUAUCACAGGGCUGAACAGAAAAAUUCAAGGAUGGGGCUAUGGGCAAUUUUUCUUUAGCAGAAGAUGCUUUAUGUCUCCCACUGUUGUACAUCAAAUUUUGAUUCCCUGAAGAAAUUUCAGUACUGUGAAAAUUCAAACCACUCCAUUCCUCCUGCGGGGCAACAUCACUGCUAGAAGCUUCUUCAACAGCAGACUGCAUAAGAGCACUCCAAGUACCCUUUAUUGUAAAUAUAACUACUUGAAUGAACAACCAUCUCUACCUCAAGCUCUAACAUAAGCACCAAAAGGAACAAACAUCAAUAAAAGUGAUUUAUAAUGCAAACAGCUAGACCCCAAAAUUGAAAAGAAGUAUCACACUUUAUGUACUGACAGAAGAAAUAAGAUGAAACCAAGGAAAACGGUAUGAGCUAAAGGAAUCAAAAUGAUAAAUGGCAAACUUGUCCAAAUAUGGAUAUCUAAAACAAAUUUGCUACUCAACAUCCCCACAAAAUUUAGUAUAAUUUCAGCACCAAAUAGUUAAUAAAAAGUCUUAAUCGGGAAAUAAGUAGGGAAAUACAUUAACAAGAUAAACUUUUUAACCUUUGUCAGCCUUGGCAGCUGUAGCAGCAGCUUGACCAUGAAGACAACCAAUCCUCCUUGCAGCAAUAAGACCAACCUUCUGCCCAGGUGGUGCAUCACGGCGGACAUCUAAACAUACUUGUCGAGGGUGUGACAACAGUGUCACAACAAUGUGCAAACUAAAAACCACAUGUCAUAGGUUAAAUGGCAAUAACAUUUUACAAGGAAAGUUGAAUGUAUUUCACACAAUUCAACACAAAAUGUUAAAAAAAGUGGAUAGUGUGGUAACCAGGACAAACCAGUUGUCAGUUCAUAAAAAUAUGAAACAUUACUGUGUUCAUAAUUUUGAUAAUAGAGCAUAUAUAUCUGAUAAAACAUCCUUACCUAAACAGGGACUCGAAAAUAACAGAAAUAAGUUGGCAAACAUGACAUUAUAGACCAGUAAAGCUUCACUCUUAAAUGGACAUUGGUGGCACAAACAACCUUCCCUCAACAAAUGCAAAGGUACAGACUACCAACUAAAAGUCUUCAGUACAAGGUUUAAGAUACGCGCAAAUCAAUUGGGAAUAAAACACACUGCUAUUGACCAAAAAAUGCACAACAAAUUAGAUAAAUUGGGAUUAAAAAAAACUGCUAUUCAUUCUGUGUAGGUUGUUUUCCAGUAGAUUAUUUAUCAAACCUAAAGUAUCUGCCUAACAAAUCGACCAUUAUAAAGUAAAGGUGCCAUAAGAAUCAUGUAGAAAGGUACUAUAGCACCAAAUUACACAGCCAUCACAUAACCAAGUAAAGCAUUAUAACCACUUGCCAUUGAUUAAUUACUAAUAUUAACUAAUAACAACAUAUUAAGUAAAGGAGCGAUUAAUAUAUGCCUAGUAGUGCCAUGAGAUGGCUGAGCAUUUUCAGCAACACUAGGCAUCUUUGAUGUUUGUGGUACUCGUUCAUGUCCACUAUUGGCAUCAAGGAUCUAAUAAAAAUUAACAGGUUAGAUAUACUUUUAUAUGAUUAUAACGUCAAUAAAAAUGUUUAAAGCUUAUGAAAUGGAGUUACAUGUUCAUCCUGAGGUGCCAUUACUACUUUGAGGCAUAAGCGGCCGAAACAAACUUCCUAAAUCAGGAUUUUCUACAUCCAAAUAAUAACAUGACUUUUACCAAAUUAAUGUACACAUAAUCUAUUGUAAAUCAAUCGACAAGAAUCAAUCCAAAAUUUACUGUAAAUCGAUUUCCAAAGACUGAUUUAACAGGGAGAAAAGAGGAGUUAAAAGGGGAAAAGGAUAAACGGACACCACGACAUGCUGUUGAACAGCGAGUUAGGAACUGAUUUACUGUAAAUCAAUCGACCAACAUCAAUAAAAAUCUACUAUAAAUCGAUAGGAAAAAGAGAAGUUAAUUUACUGUAAAUCGAUUGUAAAUCAUAGAGAAGAGAAUUUAUCUGGGGAAAUAUGGGCUGCCGUUGACUCACUCGCACUGACGUUGACACAUUAUAAAUUGCACUACCGUUGACGCAACAGCGAGUUAGGUUUUUCCGGUAGCGAAGUCGAUUCAAGAGGGAAAUCUAUUCUAGUGUAAAUCAAUUGUAAAUUGAAGAGAAGAGAAUUUACCUCGGGAAACAUUGGGCUGCCGUUGACGCACUUGCACUGCCGUUGACACACUGUAAAUUACACCGCCGUUAACAUGGCCGCUUGUUAGGUUUUGCAGUAGCGAUUUAGGAUUGUUUUGUUGUUUUUCGUUCAACUAGGGAGUGAGACUUUUCCGUUUUUGUUCUGUGGUUUUCUAAUUGGGGAGGGAAACAUAAAAGUAUCCAAAAAAAAUUGAGGGAAAGAUUUUCAUUUUUUUCAUGCGGAUAGUUAAAAUAAUUAAAAGAUUAAUUUUCAUAAGUACUUUUUAGUAGCUAUUCUUUUUUAUUGUUAUCUUUUUACUGCCUAAUAAUCAUAUGCCUCUAAUAUUUAAACUUAAAGAAUUUAUUAGCGACCAUUGCCUUAUUGUCGCGAAUUAAUAGACGCCAAAGACCUUUUUGUAGUAGUGAGUGGAGUAUCCGACAUGGUUAGCCAACGUCAUGCCAGUACCGAAGAAGGAUGGGAAGGUUAGAGUCUAUGUUCACUACCGGGAUCUCAACCGGGCCAGUCCCAAAGAUGACUUCCUCAUGCCAAAUAUACACAUCCUGAUGGACAACUACGCCAAGCAUGAGCUGCAGUCGUUCGUUGAUUGUUUUGUGGGAUACCAUCAGAUAUGGAUGGAUGAAGAAGAUGCAGAGAAAACAACUUUUAUCACGCCAUGGGGAUGUAUUGUUACAAAAUGAUGUUGUUUGGUUUGAAGAAUGCCGGUGCCACUUACAUGAGAGCCAUGACUACCAUCUUUCAUGACAUGAUACACAAAAAAUUGAAGUGUAUGUGGAUGACAUCAUCAUCAAAUCCAAAAUAGCCGCGGAUCACAUGGAAGACUUGAGAAAAUUCUUCAACAGGAGAAGAUACAAUUUGAAACUGAAUCCCGCCAAAUAUGCAUUCGGGGUUCCUGUUGGAAAGUUACUUUAUUUCAUUGUGAGCCGCCGGGGAAUAGAAUUGGAUCCGUCAAAGGUCAAGUCCAUUCAGGAAUUGCCAUCGCCAAAGAACAAGAAGGAUGUGAUGAGUUUUCUGGGAAGACUCAACUAUAUCAGUUGGUUCAUAGCUCAGUCCACUGUUAUUUGUGAACCUAUCUUCAAGAUGUUGAAGAAGGAUGUUGCCACCAAAUGGACUGAUAAGGAAUAUUUGUCUACACCGACAGUCUAGGUUACGCCUGAACCAGGGAGACCUCUAUUGCUCUACCUCGCAGUACUGGACGGAGCAUUCGAUAUUUUUUUACGAUAUCAUGAUGAAAUGGGGAGAAAGGGGCAAGCAACCUACUACCUCGGCUGGAAGUUUACCCCAUACGAGGCUCGGUAUUCCUUAUUUAGAAUGAACUUGUGCUCUAACUUGGGUAGAUCAGAAAUUGAGGCAUUAUUUCUGUGCCUACACCACUUAUCUUAUAUAUCCAUAAUGAACCCGCUGAAGUAUAUCUUCCAGAAGCCUAUGCCUACUGGCAAGCUCGCUAAAUGGCAAAUCCUGCUAAGUGAAUUAGACAUUAUUUAUGUCACUCGAAGGCAGUCAAAGGACAAGAUUUGGCAGAUCACCUCACCGAGAAUCCUGUGGACGGAGAAUACGAGCCUCUAAAGAUGUAUUUUCCUGAUGAAGAGGUAUCUUUAUAGGAGAAGAUAUUGCGGAAUCCUAUGAUGGUUGGAGGAUGUUUUUCGAUGGAGCCGCAAACUUCAAAGGAGUUGGCAUAGGAGCAGUCCUGGUAUCAGAAACCGGUCAGCACUACCCGGUGUCCGCCAAGCUCAAGUUCCCAUGCACCAACAACAUGGCCGAGUACAAAGCCUACAUCUUGGGGCUUAAACUGGCCAUUGAUAUGAACAUUCAAGAGUUACUAGUGAUUGGAGACUCGGACCUACUCAUACAUUAGGUUCGAGAGGAAUGGGAAACCAAGAAUUCUAAGAUACUCCUUUAUUUGCAUCACUUGCAGGAGUUGAGGAAGAGAUUCACAAAAACCAAAUUCCAGCAUGUUCCCAUAAUACAAAAUAAGUUUGCUGAUGCACUAGCUACUUUGUCAUCCAUGAUUCAGCAUCCAGAUACAAAUUUCAUUGAUCCCAUCCAGGUCAAUAUUUAUGACCAACCAUCUUAUUGUGCUCAUGUUUAGGAAGAAGAAUAUGGAAAAUCGUGGUUCCAUGACAUCAAAAAAUACUUUACAACAGGGGAAUACCCAGAGCUUGCCAAUGCUACUCAGAAGUGCACGCUUCGGAGGCUAUCCAACAACUUCUUUCACAAUGGAGGAAUCCUGUAUAGGAGGACUCCUGAUUUGGAAUUGCUAAAAUGUGUCGAUGUUAGAGAAGCAACCAAACUAUUGGAUGAAAUGCACGCAGGGACCUGUGGACCGCACAUGAACAGUUUUGUACUAGCAAAGAAGAUACUUCGAGCAGGGUACUUUUGGAUGACUAUGGAAACGGACUGCAUCCAGUAUGUUAGAAAAUGCCAUCGUUGUCAGAUACAUGCAGAUAUGAUAAAGGUGCCUCCAAACGAGCUUACUACAAUAAGCUCACCAUGGUCGCGCGCCACUUGGGGAAUGGAUGUUAUCAAACUGAUCGAGCCUUCCGUAUCAAACGGGAACAUGUUCAUAGUAGCGGUAAUUUAUUACUUCACCAAAUGGGUCGAAGUAGCAUCAUACAAAGCAGUGACCAAGAAAGUUAUGGCAAAUUUUGUCCGCGACCGUAUUGUUUGUUGGUUCGAAAUUUCGGAAUCAAUCAUUAUUGAUAAUGGUUUUAAUCUCAACAUCGACUUGAUAAAAGUAAUGUGUGAAACCUUCAAAAUCAAACACAAGAACUCCACAGCCUACAAGCCUCAAAUGAAUAGAGUUGUGAAAACAACCAAGAAGAAUAUAAAGAAGAUAACUAAGGAAGAUGGUCGAAAGGCACAAACAAUGGCACGAGAAGUUAUCAUUCGCCUUAUUGGGAUACCGAACCACAGUCUGCACAUAAACCGAGGCAACAUCCUACAUGCUGGUUUAUGAUACAGAGGCGAUCAUUGCCGCCGAGGUAGAAAUUCCAUCUUUGUGGGUCAUACAAGAAACAGAGUUAGAUGAUGCAGAAUGGGUAAAAGGUCGCUACGAGAAGUUAGCCCUUAUAGAUGGGAAAAGGAUGAACGCAGUUUGCCACAGUCACUUGUAUCAAAAUAGAAUGUCCAUAGCCUUCAAAAAGUUCGCACCGGGGCAGCUGGUGCUGAAGAAAAUAUUUCCACAUUAAGAUGAAGCCAAUGGGAAGUUCUCUCCCAAUUGGCAGGGUCCGUACAUGGUUCACCGGGUUCUAGCUGGAGGAGCCCUUAUUCUUGCAGAAAUGGACGGAGAAGUCUGGCCGAAGCCAAUCAAUUCUGAUGCAGUGAAACGAUACUAUGUGUAAUCAUGCAUUUUCUAUUCAUGAUGUAAUUUGAACUACGGCCGACGCGAUUCCUGUUUAAGAGGAGAUAGGUAGGCAACCCUAUGGGUUCGGUCACAAUUUAAUAAAAAUUCCAUUUUCCCCUACUAUCGGAACUGGGAUAGAAUUUUGAGAAGGGACCUCAAAAUUCCAAAGUCAGUUUUUCAGGCUUUUCAUCGCCAAAGGCGCCAGCCCAGUAAAACCGGGGUGAAAUUUUAAGGAGGACCCAAUACUAUGUAUAAUCAUAUGUUUUCUUCAUGAUGUAAUUUGUAAUACGUGUGACCUGAUUUCCGUUUAAGAGGGGAUACAUAGGCAGCCCUAUGGGUUCGAUCACAACUAAAUAAAAUUCUAUUUUUUACCCGCUAUUGGAACCGGGGCAGAAUUUUGAGGAGGACCUUCAAAAUUCCGAAGUCAGUUUUCAGCCUUUUCAUUGCUAGAAGCACUAACCUAGUAAAUUCUGAGGUUGAUCAGUUUCAAUCAUUCAUUACAACGGUCAGAAGCGCCAGCCCAGUAAACUAGGGCAGAAUUUUGAGGAGGACCCUCAAAAUUCUGGAGCAAGUAAGGUUGCAAUGUCUUGAACCACGUUGCGGUCGUUGGUUCAUCCGAAGGAAAAAUCCUUUUUUUAAAUAUAUACUUACAUUAUAUCUACUAAAUCAUGCAUAACUAUCAUUUGAACCACUGUCAUUUAGCAACGCUACCCCAAUGAUACGCGACGUCAGGAACCAUGGGAAGAUGAACUAAGAUUUCCCCUUUAUAGAACUCACGAUUUUUUCUUUGGAUGCAGUUCACAAAUCAUCUGAAUACAUUCACACACGCGUACUUUCCGAGAAAGAAACUAUCAGAACAAUCGUUUAUUCAAAAUUAUUGUCCGCGCACAACGUCCUCAGGAGUCACUAUAUCGUAAUCGACGAUUAGCUAAGAAAUUUUACCGAUAUUCGCCUCUUUACAUUCUUGCAUUGCAUGAGGCUACUUAUCUUCCUUUCGAGACUAAGAACUGUCUCCAUCUACAUUUUGCAUAAGGCUACUUAUCUACCUUCUAGGGUUAACCUCUACCUCUAUCCUGCAUAAGGCUACUUAUCUGCCUUUCGAGACUAAGCACUGUCUCCAUCUGCAUUUUGCAUAAGGUUACUUAUAUGCCUUCCGAGGUUAAGCUCUACCUCCAUCAUGCAUAAUGCUACUUAUCUGCCUUUCGAGACUAAGCUCUGUCUCCAUCUUGUAUGGUGCAUUAGGCUACUUAUCUUCCUUUCGUGGUUGAGCUCUAUCUCCAUCCUACAUAAGGCUACUUAUCUGCCUUUCAAGACUAAGCAUUGUCUCCAUCUGCAUUUUGCAUAAGGCUACUAUCUGUCUUUCGAGGUUAAGCUCUACCUCCAUCAUGCAUAAGGAUACUUAUAUGCCUUUCGAGACUAAGCUCUGUCUCCAUCCUGCAUGGCUGAAAUAUCGCCACUUUAUUUUUGAACGGCUGCAACUUCACUAUCUACAUUUAAAUUUUCGCUUUGGCUGAAAGAUCGCCACCCUUUGCAUUCAUCGGCUGAAAGAUUGCCACAUUCUCAUGGGCUGAAAGACCGCCAACUUAUUCAAAGGCGUCAUAGUUUGGAGGCACCAUCUGCAUAGCCCGAGAACACCAUUUUAUGGCCUGCGAAUUUUUAUGUUUGUGCUCUUCAUGGCCUAGGACAUCAUACUCUGAGGACGUCACCCUAACCGUCCAAAGACAACAUUCAUGGUCCAACAGGAACUUGCAUCACGUUUAUAUUAUACACAAUAUACACCACACUGCUCACUUGUAGGUACUGGCUAGCAAACGGCCGUCUCAGCAAGAGCAAUUCCGCUCCGACUCUCCGCAGCCUAUUCGACUCAAAACACCUUUUCCCAAUCCAAACAUCGCGUCCAUUCUUUUCAAGUAUCAAUCGGCAUAUUCCGCCAAUGGUUCCUGAACUACAUAUGGGCUGGUUUCUAUAAAACCAGGGAUAUAUAGGUAGCUGAGAAGCCAGAUCUCUAUCAAAAUUCUUUCCAAUCACCGAUCCAGUCAAAAUUGGUCAUCUUGUCUUUACCCGACAACUCUUUCAUCCUUCUCGGGUAAAGAGUGGUAGCUGUUGAUACCCAAAUUUUCCCUAUGUAUUUUUAUAUACCCAAAAUACUUUCAAAAUAGUCUAUAUGUGCAUCUAUAAGCACAUCAAGGUCUUGGCCAUUUUCAUGAUUUUUAAACCAAUUUAUUGACUGUUGUUUUACCACAAAAUCCAAUAAUUAUUCCUAAAUUUAUCAUUUUGGUGAACAAUCUAUUUUAUUCUCAUAUUUACAUCAAAACGUAGCUUACAUUAUUUUUAAACAUUUUUCCAAAUUCGUUUGGUAUUUUUAAAACCAAAAUGCAUGUAAUUGCAAUACUAGCCUCCUUAAGAUUAAAUGGAAUUUUAUAAUUAUAAAAAUUAGUUUCAAUAUUUCUAAAUUAAUAUUUAUAUAUUAUUAACUGAAUAAGAACCUUUAAUUUACCUUUAAAACUUUUUUUACUAUUUUUUAUAAAAUAAGAGUGAAAAACUAGCUAUUUAAUAUCUAGCCUCAUUUCAUUUUAAUUAUAACCCCAAUUUCAUUUCAAUUUCAACCUGAAAUCAAUCCAAUUUCUAACCCAAUUGGACCAGCCUAAUUCAUUUAAGCCCAACCCCUUAACCCAUUUAGCCGACCAGCCCGAAAAUCCUUUAGUUAAGACCAUUGAUCCUUUUGAUAACGGCCACAAUAAAUCUUUUCCUUUUAAUUCCACCUACCCCAACCCUAACCCCUCAUUCAUCUUCAACAGCCGCCUCUGAAACCCUUUCCUCCUCUCAAACUCUCUCGAAGGGUCUUGAAACCCUAGCCCUUCUCACCAUUCUUCGACCUCAAUCUUACCUGAGUCCAUGGCUUCCCAAGCCAUGGACGACAUGUGCUUACCUUCCUUCACCCCUAAGUCAUGGGUGUUAGAGAUUUCAAGGUCUGACUUCGAUAGCGUCCAUUUAGAUCCUCUACAAAUCUUUGGUUCUAUGGCCUCUCCGGUUUCACUCUUGUGUAUUUGAGAUUUAGGAGCCUAUCUAUGGAUAUCUCCGACUCGAGACCACACUUUCUUCCAAGCCUUCUUAUUUCUAGGGUUUCAGAGAAACCCUAAAGCUAUUUGAGGCUCCUUCUUCUUUUAUUUGCCUAGAUCUGGGGUGAAUCUAUGCUAUCUUCAAUCUUUUAAGCUUUUCCCCCAAUUUUUAUUUCAAAAUUAGUUUGUUUUCGAUUUAGGGUUUUCGGAAAAGUCUCAAAACGACUUCUGUCUUUUCUUCUUAUUUUCUUUAUGUGAAUCUGUCUAUGCCAUAUUCAUAUGCAUUUUCUCUUGUGUCCUUAUGUUUGUCGUGUUAUGAAUGUACUUCUAUUUUUUGUUCUAUGUUCUUUCUUCUACUGGUCUCUAUAAGCAUGCUUUUACAUGUCUAUCUCGUAUGUUCCUUUACUGUAUUUUUUACUGAGUUUUUAAUCCUUGUUUGCCUUUACGGGACUUUCGUUUUAAGCUCUAAGCAUGCUUCAUCUACUGUUUUCCUAAUCAUAUGUCGCAUCUUCUCUUCAGAACUUAUUUGGGUGACAAGCUGUGCUUAAAUGUGUUCCCUGUGUUUCAAAUUAGUUUCCACACUCUAUUUGCCUUGAACCUGUUGUUCUCUUUGUUUUUUUUCUCAUAAGUCUCUGAAAGAGACUACUGAGUCUGCUCUAGUUGUUUUCUUCUCGUCUAUGCAUCUGAUUUGAGUCAGAAACCCUAAUAUUUGGGGGAUUUCUGGCAGGCUUGAUCUUAUGUUUGGAUUAGGGUUCUAUUCAGAAUCCUUGACUCUUUCAGACUCAUUCUAAGUCUAUGAACUGAACCUUCUUUGUUAUGACCCUGUAUUUUCUAUACGAUUCUCCCUUGUUUGUGUUAUUUGUGUGCUUUAUAUAUGAACCUUUCUUUCAAAAGGCUUUUUGCCAACUUGUGAUUGAUUACGAACUCCUUUUUCUAAGGUUUGAUUAAGUUCUACUGAUUUUCUUAAAUUAAACCUCGUUUCACCUUUUUCUGGUUGGAUUCAUUCGUUCCAAGACUCAAAUCCUGAUUUUUUAAUGCAUGAUAAUUGAUUUCCUUUCCUUAUUUGUCCAAACCGUGUACUACUAGACUCCUGCCUUAAAUAAAUUUUUGUGUUUCUACCCUUAUUGUACUGCUUUGGAAAGGGUUUUUGAACCAAACCCUUUUCUUAAUUAUCCUACCCGUUUGAAUCAAAUCCCUUGACUGAAGGGAAAUUAUUGAAACUGAUUUUCAAAGUUAUUUUCUUACCUCUUUCUACUCUUUUUCUGCACUAUAAACGGGGGCUACCCUUUUGCACUUGACAAUAAGAUUGACACGCUUUAACACUGAAGUUUUCACAAUAAAAUUGCAUUCUCACUCAUAGUAUUAAGCACUGUACUUUCUACUCUCUUCUUCUCUAUACUUCUACUCCUUGCUUUCUGAAACAACUUUGAGUUCUCUUCGAGCUUUCAAGAGUUCUGCUGAAAUUUGAGUUUGCUCCUGUUGUUUUAAUUAAUUUGAUUGCUCUGUUAUUUUGCUUAUUUUUACUUUGCAACUGGUAUGUUCUUCCUAGUUAAAUAAUGCUCCUUCAUUUCAAGUGUUCUACUGAAAUUUGAGUUUGCUCCUGUUGUUUUACUUACUGUGAUUGCUCUGUUAUUCUGCUUAUUCUUACUUUGCAACUGGUAUGUUCUUCCUAGUUAAACAAUGCUCCUUCACUAUGUGUUUACAUCCUAGUCUGUUAUGCUUUCUUUCAAUAUGUUUCUUCCAUUACUGUACUUAUGUGAAUCCCUUACACCAUACCCCUUUGUGUGUGAGUUGUGGUUCCAGCCAUAGC